AUUGAACGCUGGCGGCAUGCCUUACACAUGCAAGUCGAGCGGCAGCGCGGGGGCAACCCUGGCGGCGAGCGGCGGACGGGUGAGUAAUGCAUCGGAACGUGUCCUCUUGUGGGGGAUAACCAGUCGAAAGACUGGCUAAUACCGCAUGAGCUCGUAAGAGGAAAGCGACGGGGACCCGCAAGGGCCUUGCGCGAGAGGAGCGGCCGAUGCCCGAUUAGCAGUUGGCGGGGUAAAGCCCACCAAGGCGACGAUCGGUAGCUGGUCUGAGAGGACGACCAGCCACACUGGGACUGAGACACGGCCCAGACUCCUACGGGAGGCAGCAGUGGGGAAUUUUGGACAAGUGGGGAAACCCUGAUCCAGCCAUGCCGCGUGUGUGAAGAA
rnacentral:rRNA from 1 species